UACGAGGGGUGCAAGCGUUGCUCGGAAUUAUUGGGCGUAAAGGGUAGGUAGGUGGUCUCAUUUGUCUGGGGUGAAAGCCUUGGGCUUAACUCAAGAAGUGCCCCAGAAACGGUGAGACUGGAGUCCUGGAGAGGGUCGUGGAAUUCCCGGUGUAGCGGUGAAAUGCGUAGAGAUCGGGAGGAACACCAGAGGCGAAGGCGGCGACCUGGACAGGUACUGACACUCAACUACGAAAGCGUGGGGAGCAAACAGG
rnacentral:rRNA from 1 species